rnacentral:rRNA from 1 species
GACGAACGCUGGCGGCGUGCCUAAUACAUGCAAGUCGAGCGAGUGAAAUGAGUAGAAGCCUUCGGGUGGACGCUUAUGGAUCUAGCGGCAGACGGGUGAGUAACACGUAGGCAACCUACCUGUAAGAUGGGGCUAACUCCGGGAAACCGGAGCUAAUACCGAAUAAUCGUUUUGCUCGCAUGCGCAAAAGGUGAAAGGUGGCGAAAGCUACCACUUCCGGAUGGGCCUGCGGCGCAUUAGCUAGUUGGUGAGGUAACGGCUCACCAAGGCGACGAUGCGUAGCCGACCUGAGAGGGUGAUCGGCCACACUGGGACUGAGACACGGCCCAGACUCCUACGGGAGGCAGCAGUAGGGAAUCUUCGGCAAUGGACGAAAGUCUGACCGAGCAACGCCGCGUGAGUGAAUGAGGUUUUCAGAUUGUAAAACUCUGUUGUUAGGGAAGAACAAGUAUCGGUUAAAUAAGCCGGUACCCUGACGGUACCUAACGAGAAAGCCCCGGCUAACUACGUGCCAGCAGCCGCAGUAACAC